rnacentral:rRNA from 1 species
AUUGAACGCUGGCGGCAUGCUUUACACAUGCAAGUCGAACGGCAGCACGGACUUCGGUCUGGUGGCGAGUGGCGAACGGGUGAGUAAUGUAUCGGGACGUGCCCAGUCGUGGGGGAUAACGUAGUGAAAAUUACGCUAAUACCGCAUACGAUCUAUGGAUGAAAGCGGGGGAUCGCAAGACCUCGCGCGAUUGGAGCGGCCGAUAUCAGAUUAGGUAGUUGGUGGGGUAAAGGCCCACCAAGCCAACGAUCUGUAGCUGGUCUGAGAGGACGACCAGCCACACUGGAACUGGGGCACGGUCCAGACUCCUACGGGAGGCAGCAGUGGGGAAUUUUGGACAAUGGGCGAAAGCCUGAUCCAGCCAUUCCGCGUGCAGGAUGAAGGCCCUCGGGUUGUAAACUGCUUUUGUGCAGAACGAAAAGGUUUCUACUAAUACUAGGAGCUCAUGACGGUACUGUAAGAAUAAGCACCGGCUAACUACGUGCCAGCCGCCGCAGUAA